CCCUUAGAUGUUCUUGGCUGCACGCGCGCUACACUGAAGCUAUCAACACGUUUUCCCUCCCUGAGAAGGGCGGGUAACCUUUUGAAUCAGCUUCGUGGUAGGGAUCGGGGCUUGCAAUUGUUCCCCGUGAACCAGGAAUUCCUAGUAGACGCGAGUCAUAAGCUCGCAUCGAUUAAGUCCCUGCCCUUUGUACACACCGCCCGUCGCUACUACCGAUUGAACGUUUUAGUGAGGCAUUUGGACCGACGCAUCUCAGUUUAACCGCUGGUUUGUGUUGGAAAGGCUUCCAAACUUGAGCGUUUAGAGGAAGUAAAAGUCGUAACA
rnacentral:rRNA from 1 species